UACGAAGGGGGCUAGCGUUGUUCGGAAUUACUGGGCGUAAAGCGCACGUAGGCGGAUAUUUAAGUCAGGGGUGAAAUCCCAGAGCUCAACUCUGGAACUGCCUUUGAUACUGGGUAUCUUGAGUAUGGAAGAGGUAAGUGGAAUUGCGAGUGUAGAGGUGAAAUUCGUAGAUAUUAGGAAGAACACCAGUGGCGAAGGCGGCUCACUGGUCCGGUACUGACGCUGAGGUGCGAAAGCGUGGGGGAGCAAACAGGG
rnacentral:rRNA from 1 species